AACGACUGCUAAUACCGCAUACGCCCUACGGGGGAAAGGAGGGGACCUUCGGGCCUUUCGCGAUUGGAUGAACCUAGGUGGGAUUAGCUAGUUGGUGGGGUAAUGGCUCACCAAGGCGACGAUCCCUAGCUGGUCUGAGAGGAUGAUCAGCCACACUGGAACUGAGACACGGUCCAGACUCCUACGGGAGGCAGCAGUGGGGAAUAUUGCACAAUGGGCGAAAGCCUGAUGCAGCCAUGCCGCGUGUAUGAAGAAGGCCUUCGGGUUGUAAAGUACUUUCAGCGAGGAGGAAAGGUUGNUGGUUAAUAACCAUCAGCUGUGACGUUACUCGCAGAAGAAGCACCGGCUAACUUCGUGCCAGCAGCCGCGGUAAUACGAGGGGUGCAAGCGUUAAUCGGAAUUACUGGGCGUAAAGCGUACGCAGGCGGUUUGUUAAGCAAGAUGUGAAAGCCCUGGGCUCAACCUAGGAACCGCAUUUUGAACUGGCAAACUAGAGUCUUGUAGAGGGGGGUAGAAUUUCAGGUGUAGCGGUGAAAUGCGUAGAGAUCUGAAGGAAUACCGGUGGCGAANGCGGCCCCCUGGACAAAGACUGACGCUCANGUAC
rnacentral:rRNA from 1 species